rnacentral:sRNA from 1 species
CACCACCAUCAUUUCCCUGAAUAAUCUUUCGGGCGCAUGGUGUUGUUCGGAAGAUAGCUUCCGAGAAAGUGCAGGUAAUCAAACAUUAAUCUCUCGGAAGACCACUUUCGAGAGAUUUUUU